UACGUAGGGUGCGAGCGUUAAUCGGAAUUACUGGGCGUAAAGCGUGCGCAGGCGGUUCGUUAAGUCAGCUGUGAAAGCCCCGGGCUCAACCUGGGAAUGGCGGUUGAAACUGGCGAACUAGAAUCUGGCAGAGGGGGGUGGAAUUCCACGUGUAGCAGUGAAAUUCGUAGAUAUCGGGAGGAACACCGGUGGCGAAGGCGGCGAUCUGGGUCGAUACUGACGCUGAGGUGCGAAAGCGUGGGGAGCAAACAGG
rnacentral:rRNA from 1 species